GCUGGCGGCAGGCCUAACACAUGCGAGUCGAGCGGUAGAGAGAAGCUUGCUUCUCUUGAGAGCGGCGGACGGGUGAGUAAUGCCUAGGAAUCUGCCUGGUAGUGGGGGAUAACGUUCGGAAACGGACGCUAAUACCGCAUACGUCCUACGGGAGAAAGCAGGGGACCUUCGGGCCUUGCGCUAUCAGAUGAGCCUAGGUCGGAUUAGCUAGUUGGUGAGGUAAUGGCUCACCAAGGCGACGAUCCGUAACUGGUCUGAGAGGAUGAUCAGUCACACUGGAACUGAGACACGGUCCAGACUCCUACGGGAGGCAGCAGUGGGGAAUAUUGGACAAUGGGCGAAAGCCUGAUCCAGCCAUGCCGCGUGUGUGAAGAAGGUCUUCGGAUUGUAAAGCACUUUAAGUUGGGAGGAAGGGUUGUAGAUUAAUACUCUGCAAUUUUGACGUUACCGACAGAAUAAGCACCGGCUAACUCUGUGCCAGCAGCCGCGGUAAUACAGAGGGUGCAAGCGUUAAUCGGAAUUACUGGGCGUAAAGCGCGCGUAGGUGGUUUGUUAAGUUGGAUGUGAAAUCCCCGGGCUCAACCUGGGAACUGCAUUCAAAACUGACUGACUAGAGUAUGGUAGAGGGUGGUGGAAUUUCCUGUGUAGCGGUGAAAUGCGUAGAUAUAGGAAGGAACACCAGUGGCGAAGGCGACCACCUGGACUAAUACUGACACUGAGGUGCGAAAGCGUG
rnacentral:rRNA from 1 species